rnacentral:rRNA from 1 species
GAGCCUGAGAAAUGGCUACCACAUCCAAGGAUGGCAGCAGGCGCGCAAAUUACCCACUCCCAGCUUGGGGAGGUAGUGACGAAAAAUAACAAUGCGGGACUCUAAGAGGCCCCGUAAUUGGAAUGAGUACACCUUGAAUCGUUUAACGAGUAUCAAUUGGAGGGCAAGUCUGGUGCCAGCAGCCGCGGUAAUUCCAGCUCCAAUAGCGUAUAUUAAAGUUGCUGCAGUUAAAAAGCUCGUAGUUGGAUCUGGGGCUUGAGGUCGCUGUUUAUCGUUUCGGCGAUGACGGUGAUGCUCAGCUCUGCUUGCCGGUGACUGUUGCGGUGUUCUUCACUGAGCGCUGUAGCAGCACGGCACGUUUACUUUGAAAAAAUUAGAGUGCUCAAAGCGUGCUUGUCGCUUGAAUAAUGUUGCAUGGAAUAAUGGAAUAGGACCUCGGUUCUAUUUUGUUGGUUUUCGGAGCUUGAGGUAAUGAUUAAGAGGGACGAACGGGGGCAUUCGUAUUGCGGUGUUAGAGGUGAAAUUCUUGGAUCGCCGCAAGACGGACUACUGCGAAAGCAUUUGCCAAGAACGCUUUCAUUAAUUAAGAACGAAAGUCAGAGGUUCGAAGACGAUCAGACACCGUCCUAGUUCUGACCAUAAACGAUGCCGACCAGCGAUCCGUAGUGGUUGCUUUAUGGACCCUACGGGCAGCCUCCGGGAAACCAAAGUAUUUGGGUUCCGGGGGAAGUAUGGUUGCAAAGCUGAAACUUAAAGGAAUUGACGGAAGGGCACACCAGGAGUGGAGCCUGCGGCUUAAUUUGACCCAACACGGGAAAACUCACCCGGUCCGGACACCGUAAGGAUUGACGGACUGAUAGCUCUUUCUUGAUUCGGUGGAUGGUGGUGCAUGGCCGUUCUUAGUUGGUGGAGUGAUUUGUCUGGUUAAUUCCGAUAACGAACGAGACUCUAGCCUGCUAAGUAGUGUUGCUAUUGUUAUAUGGUUGACACUUCUUAGAGGGACAAGUGGCAUUUAGCCACGCGAAAUUGAGCAAUAACAGGUCUGUGAUGCCCUUAGAUGUCCGGGGCCGCACGCGCGCUACACUGGAGAAGUCAGCGUGUGUUAUCCAAGUCCGAAAGGACUGGGUAACCCGUUGAACCUUCUUCGUGCUUGGGACUGUGGCUUGGAACUAUUCCACAUGAACGAGGAAUUCCUAGUAAUUGCAAGUCAUAAGCUUGCGUUGAUUACGUCCCUGCCCUUUGUACACACCGCCCGUCGCUACUACCGAUUGAAUGGUUUAGCAAGGUCCUCGGAUCGUGGCCGUAGGGGCACGCAAGUGUUUCUGCGGUUUGCGAGAAGACGACCAAACUUGAUCAUUUAGAGGAAGUAAAAGUCGUAACAAGGUU